UGACAGCAGAUAACUGAAAGCUCGGAAAGCGAAACCGUGGAUAAGCAGGGGAACUGUGGCAUCCCAUUUAAAAUUGCUUCUGAAGAGAAGCAUGAGGUUACAUCUGUAAUCUCCCUGCAGCAGAGUCAACUGCAUAAGAAACCAAAAGACACACCUGCUCCAUGCCAGCUUCGAUAAUUUCUUUGUACCUUCGGCGAAAGAAGCCCAUCUGAAAGGCAGAAAGAAAGAGAAGCUGAGUUAGAAGUGCUGAAGAAUCAGCCAUUGUGACCCCAAGGCAGUCUGUCCCUGGCCUAAGCCACCACAUAAAAAGUCAGACCAUCUGCUGGAAGAACCACAUGGAGAGGCCCUGAGUCAACAUGGAGAGGAAGAAGGACUUGACUGAAUCCAGCCUUCCAGCUGUCCCUACCAAGGUGCCAGGCAUGAGAAUGAAGCUGUCUUGAACUCUGAAGACCAGCUUAGCCACCAGAUGCCAAACACUGAGCAGGCUUUGUUCUCCACCCACAAACCAGAGGCUGUCUCAGCAGGAAGGAGUUGGAGUUGGAGAAAAAGGAGAAUUAAGAAUCUAUCUGGCGAUGUGGAUUAAAUAAACAACAAAUUGGCAGAUUGUUUUUAAAAGGCUUUCAACCUAACGACAUAAUGAAAGAUUUGUGCAAAUAUUUGGCUCCAGGGAUAUUUAAUGUGGCACUGUUAAAAGAAGUGUGAAACAGAAGCAACCUAAAUUCCAGUAUCAGGGGACUGGAUGAGUAGACUGCAGACACUCUACAGCUUUAAGAUGUGCUGGAAACGUGCUUUGAACAAUAUGGAAAGAUGUUCACAGUACUGUCUUCAGGGAAAAAUAGGUAUACGUUUUUCCCAGAUUAAUAAAUCAAAUCCAGGCCAGGUGCGUUGGUUCACACCUAUAAUCCCAGCACUUUGGGAGGCUGAGGUGGGAGGAUAGCUGGAGGCCAGGAGUUCAGGACCAGUAUGAGAAACAUAGUGAGACCCUAUGUUUACAAAAAAAUAAAAAAAUGAGCCAGGCAUUGUGCAUGCCUGUAGUCCCAGCUACUUGGGAGGCUGAGGCAGGAAAACAGCUUGAGCCCAGGAGUUAGAGCUAUGAUUGUGCCACUGCCUUCCAGCCUGGGUGACAGAACAAGACCCCAUACUUAAAAAAAAAAAGGAACCCACUGCUUUUAAAUUUAGAGGUACUUCACCUGAAAAUAUGCUGAGUAUAUUACUGUAAAAUUUAACUAAUACACUAUUCAAAAAUAAGUUGAUGUUAUGAGAAUGCCUGGUCUAUAUCUAUAUAUGCAGAGAAAAAGGUCAAAAUGAGGCAAUACUAUGCUCAUCAUGGUUAUUUCUGGGAUGUGAACUCCUGGUGUUUUACAACUUUUUUUGGUAAUUGAUAUGUUAUGUUAGGUCAAUACAUACAUAUUAUUUUGUAAUCCCAAAGAAAUUAGUUGUCUUAUUUUAAAAUAUCCAUCUAUAAUACUCUAAGAGGCUGUUUUCACCUACAUCUGAAAUUUGUAAUUCUAGAGAAGUAUGGACUUUGGUGUCAGGAAGUUGCAGUUAUGGUCCCUGGUGCUGUUUUGGAGCUGGGGACACAGUGGAAACAAGGAAGAGACAGACCUUCAUCAGCUAAAGCCUCCAAUACCAUUACUGAUGAAUAGAGAGGCUCUGAAGGAAAAGGACUCCGGGUCUCUGAAAGGAGAGUGUGAGGCAAACAAAUCAUCCUAGACAUGGGGAUGAGGACACCCCUUUCUCCUUGAGAGAGUGAUGCUUGAGGCAGGACAGGUCUGCACCCUGGGCCACCUCCAAAUGAACCACCAUGAGGUUGGGAGAAGUUAUGAUGAAGCUACUCUGGACUGUAGCCCAUCUCAGUUACUCAAGUUUUCUGGUCAGAAAUCUUCCUCACAUUCCUUAGAGGAAAAGAAGGAAGAAUUGUUCUAUAGUUCGCCUUCUGAUCUUUUUUAAGCAAAUGGGAAAUCGCCCCCUUCUGGCAGUUGCUCCCCAGACUUCUGUUUUGGAGUUAGGUUCUCACCAUCCUAUGUUAGGGCUCUAAGGGAAGGUAAGAGAAGAGAGAACUGAGACUUUUGCCUUCACUCUGAAGUGGUCCAAAUCCUCAGUUGUGAAUGGCCUCAAGGGGAGCCAAGAUUCCACUCCCUGCCUGAAGGGUCACUGUCCUUCACUGUACCGGUGCCAUGAAGGAAGCUCUAACAGGAUACUCCUUCUUCCCUGGAAAGGCAGGAGAGCUGGGCAUCUAUGAGUGGGGACCCCAGGGGGACCUGCAAUCACCAGACUCACCUUCCAGAGCAGCACGGCCAGCAGCAGGAAGAUGAGGAUUCCCACCAACAAACUGAUGGCGAUGAUCCACCCCACGACGUAGCCACGGGGCUCCAGAUUGUGCAGGGCCUCGAAGACCACCUAGGAGGCAACGCAACAGUGAAAACAUUUCCUUUUUUAUUUUUUUUUUGAGACAGAGUCUUGUUCUGUCACCCAGGCUGGAGUGCAAUGGCACAAUCUCGGCUCACUGCAACCUCUACCUCCUGGGUUCAAGCGAUUCUCCUGCCUUAGCCUCCCAAGUAGCUGGGAUUACAGGUGCCUGGCUAAUGUUUUGUAUUUUUAGUAGAGACAGGGUUUCACCAUGUUGGCUAGGCUGGUCUCGAACUCCUGACCUCAGGUGAUCCAC
ensembl:lncRNA ITGA9-AS1 ITGA9 antisense RNA 1